UGCGAGAGGCCCGGUCGGACCAGGGAUCAGUCUGCAAAACUUGAGCAAGCGGGUUCGACUCCCGAUCUCGCAUCCA
rnacentral:tRNA from 1 species